rnacentral:rRNA from 1 species
UACCAGCACCCCGAGUGGUCGGGACGAUUAUUGGGCCUAAAGCAUCCGUAGCCGGUUUUACAAGUCCUCCGUUAAAUCCAGCUGCUUAACAGAUGGGCUGCGGAGGAUACUAUAGGACUAGGAGGCAGGAGAGGCAAGCGGUACUCAGUGGGUAGGGGUAAAAUCUGUUGAUCCAUUGAAGACCACCAGUGGCGAAGGCGGCUUGCCAGAAUGCGCUCGACGGUGAGGGAUGAAAGCUGGGGGAGCAAACCGG